rnacentral:miRNA from 1 species
AUACAACCCAGUUAAAUUUGAAUUUCAGAUAAACAACACUUCUUUUUUAGUUUACGGAUGUCUCAUGCAAUAUUUGGGACAUACUUACACUAAAAAUUAUUCAUUAUUUUUUUGAAAUUCAAAUUUCACUGGGAU